GACGAACGCUGGCGGCGUGCUUAACACAUGCAAGUCGAGCGGUAAGGCCCUUUCGGGGGUACGACGAGCGGCGAACGGGUGAGUAACACGUGGGUGACCUGCCUUUAGCUCUGGGAUAAGCCUGGGAAACUGGGUCUAAUACCGGAUAUGACCCUAUGGCGCAUGUUGUGGGGUGGAAAGCCUUGUGCGGCUAGGGAUGGGCCCGCGGCCUAUCAGCUUGUUGGUGGGGUGAUGGCCUACCAAGGCGACGACGGGUAGCCGGCCUGAGAGGGCGACCGGCCACACUGGGACUGAGACACGGCCCAGACUCCUACGGGAGGCAGCAGUGGGGAAGUCUUGCGCAAUGGGCGAAAGCCUGACGCAGCGACGCCGCGUGAGGGAUGACGGCC
rnacentral:rRNA from 1 species